CUUGCUAGUCUGUGUCUGGCCUAAAUGUCCAUAGGCUAUGCCUGAUAAAUCAGCGGACUCCCAUUCACUGGAAUAGGGCACAGCUGCAAUGCAAGCACCGAGUGACACUGCCAUGUUAUUUUAAUAUCUUACAAACCUCUCAGAGAUGCAGUAUUUGUUUCGGAUGGAGCACAAAACAGAUCCUGUCUCCUGCUUCUGAUUUGCAGUGGUGGCACUCUCAGUCCUCAUGGGCAUCUUCAUAGUCACCAUUGUCAUUUUUAUUUUCUAUAUCUGCUGACAAAAGAAAGAAA